GAUGAACGCUGGCGGCGUGCCUAAUACAUGCAAGUCGAGCGAACGGACGAGAAGCUUGCUUCUCUGAUGUUAGCGGCGGACGGGUGAGUAACACGUGGAUAACCUACCUAUAAGACUGGGAUAUCUUCGGGAAACCGGAGCUAAUACCGGAUAAUAUUUUGAACCGCAUGGUUCAAAAGUGAAAGACGGUCUUGCUGUCACUUAUAGAUGGAUCCGCGCUGCAUUAGCUAGUUGGUAAGGUAACGGCUUACCAAGGCAACGAUGCAUAGCCGACCUGAGAGGGUGAUCGGCCACACUGGAACUGAGACGCGGCCCAGACUCCUACGGGAGGCAGCAGUAGGGAAUCUUCCGCAAUGGGCGAAAGCCUGACGGAGCAACGCCGCGUGAGUGAUGAAGGUCUUCGGAUCGUAAAACUCUGUUAUUAGGGAAGAACAUAUGUGUAAGUAACUGUGCACAUCUUGACGGUACCUAAUCAGAAAGCCACGGCUAACUACGUG
rnacentral:rRNA from 1 species